rnacentral:rRNA from 1 species
GACGAACGCUGGCGGCGUGGAUUAGGCAUGCAAGUCGAACGGUAGGAUACCUUCGGGUAUCUGAGAGUGGCGAACGGGUGAGUAACACGUAGGUGAUCUACCCUCAAGAUUGGGACAACCCAGGGAAACUUGGGCUAAUACCGGAUGAAAGCAGCAGUGAUGUUGUUUGAAAGGUGGCGUAAGCUGCCGUUUGGGGAUGAGCCUGCGCUCUAUUAGUUAGUUGGCGGGGUAAAGGCCCACCAAGGCGAUGAUAGAUAGGCGGCCUUAACGGGUGGUCGCCCACACUGGGGAUUGAGAUACGGCCCAGACUCCUACGGGAGGCAGCAGUCGAGAAUAGUCUACAAUGGCCGAAAGGCUGAUAGUGCGACGCCGCGUGAACGAAGAAGCCCUUCGGGUGUAAGUUCUUUUAUAUGUGAGCAGUGCUUUCUAUGUGAACAGCAUGGGGAGAGAGAUAUUAGCAUAUGAAUAAGCAACGGCUAACUCCGUGCCAGCACG